UACAGAGGUCCCAAGCGUUGUUCGGAUUCAUUGGGCGUAAAGGGUGCGUAGGCGGCGCGGUAAGUCGGGUGUGAAAUCUCGGAGCUUAACUCCGAAACUGCAUUCGAUACUGCCGUGCUUGAGGACUGGAGAGGAGACUGGAAUUUACGGUGUAGCGGUGAAAUGCGUAGAGAUCGGGAGGAACAUCAGUGGCGAAGGCGGCCAUCUGGGACAACACUGACGCUGAAGCACGAAAGCGUGGGGAGCAAACAGG
rnacentral:rRNA from 1 species